UACGUAGGGGGCUAGCGUUGUCCGGAAUCAUUGGGCGUAAAGCGCGUGUAGGCGGUCCGGUAAGUCCGCUGUGAAAGUCGGGGGCUCAACCCUCGGAUGCCGGUGGAUACUGUCGGGCUUGAGUACGGAAGAGGCGAGUGGAAUUCCUGGUGUAGCGGUGAAAUGCGUAGAUAUCGGGAGGAAUACCGGUGGCGAAGGCGGCAUCCUGGACCGGCAUUGACGCUGAGGAGCGAAAGCCAGGGGAGCAAACGGG
rnacentral:rRNA from 1 species